rnacentral:rRNA from 1 species
AGGACGAACGCUGGCGGCGCGCUUAACACAUGCAAGUCGAGCGAGAACCAGGGCUUCGGCCCUGGGGAAAGCGGCGAACGGGUGAGUAACACGUGAGUAACCUGUCCUCGGCACCGGGAUAGCCCGGGGAAACCCGGAUUAAUACCGGAUGGCCUUUCGAGCUCUCGGGCUCGUUAGAAAAGGUAGCUUCGGCCUCCGGCCGAGGAGGGACUCGCGGCGGAUUAGCUUGUUGGUGAGGUAACGGCUCACCAAGGCGACGAUCCGUAGCUGGUCUGAGAGGACGAUCAGCCACACUGGGACUGAGACACGGCCCAGACUCCUACGGGAGGCAGCAGUGGGGAAUCUUGCGCAAUGGGCGAAAGCCUGACGCAGCGACGCCGCGUGCGGGAAGAAGGCCUUCGGGUUGUAAACCGCUUUCAGGAGGGACGAAGCCACUCGGGUUAAUAGCCCAGAGGGUGACGGUACCUCCAGAAGAAGCCCCGGCUAACUACGUGCCAGCAGCCGC